rnacentral:rRNA from 1 species
GAUCCUGGCUCAGGAUGAACGCUGGCGGCGUGCCUAACACAUGCAAGUCGAACGGAGAUACGAUGUGAGCGAGAGGUGCUUGCACUGAUUAAUCUUUUCGUAUCUUAGUGGCGGACGGGUGAGUAACGCGUGGGUAACCUGCCUUAUACCGGGGGAUAACACUUAGAAAUAGGUGCUAAUACCGCAUAAGCGCACGGUGUCGCAUGACACAGUGUGAAAAACUCCGGUGGUAUAAGAUGGACCCGCGUCUGAUUAGCUUGUUGGUGAGGUAACGGCCCACCAAGGCGACGAUCAGUAGCCGGCCUGAGAGGGUGAACGGCCACAUUGGGACUGAGACACGGCCCAGACUCCUACGGGAGGCAGCAGUGGGGAAUAUUGGGCAAUGGGCGCAAGCCUGACCCAGCAACGCCGCGUGAAGGAAGAAGGCUUUCGGGUUGUAAACUUCUUUUAAGAGGGAAGAGCAGAAGACGGUACCUCUAGAAUAAGCCACGGCUAACUACGUG